UGUGUGUGUGUGAAAAAAAAUUAAAUUAAUUCACAUUUUGAGGCAACAUAAAUGCAUAGACUCCAGUACCUCCCAGUAUUCGGUAUUUGUAGAGACAUUAUAGACCGUUUUUUUUUUCAAAUAUAUUUAAAGUUCGUAAUGGGUACUAUGGCCUCUGACAAAAAAUUCAUGUAAAUCUUCCUAAAUUUACGCGGAUUAGCCACAUAAAUCAAUAUAAUGCUCUUAAUCAUCGUAUAGUCUAAAUGCGCUCUUUAGCUGCUAUCAGACCUGAUAUAUGUACUGUCACUUUUAUUAUCCAUGUGUGUUUACGUGUGUAUGCCAAAUUUUUAUUUUGCAUAUGUCUCAUAAAUCUUGCUACCACACACUUGCAUAUGUUUCUUUUAUUUUCUUUGUUUACAAUCAAGGUGUAUUUAUAAGAUGUAUGCAUCGUCUACAGAAACUAACAUUUUACAAGAACAACAUUGUUCUUAUAGAAACUAAGUCAUUUUGACAAUUAGUUUAUUAUAUUGCAUUUUCUAAACAUUUAUACUACCACCAACAAUUAAUAAGGUGUAAUACCCAGCUAGCAUUUGGAAGAUUGUUUUUGAAAAAAUCACUUUGGUGAGUCUUCUUCGAGUCCUUUUGGGGACCAAAAAAUGAUUAACUGACUUGUAUGAUCGAAAAGCGACUCAAAAAUGACUCUCUCUAAUGAGUGAAAAGAGAUCAGUUUAAUAUACAACAACAAAAUGUAGGGGAAUCGCCAAUCAAUUAUUGAGAUGUGCAAAAUGUGACUAUUUUUCCAUUAUUUAUUAUCGUAUUGCCAUCAUCUAGAGAUUGAAAAAUGAUUAGCCUUAAAAAGAUAUUGCAGCUGUAUGAAAAGUGAUCAAAAUUAUGUAUUUUUAACAUGUUUUGCACAGAUAAGUGAAUAAAUGCUGUUUGUUAUGUUAUGUAAGCGUCAUUUGUUUCUGGAGUGACUAUCAACAAGUUGAAUUAUUGUUCGUUUAUAAAAAGUGCUUGGAGCCGUCUACAGCAAAAGUGUAUAAUAUUGAAAAUGAAAAUAGGGUUGCCAACUGGCAGAUAAAAGUGAUGUCAAUAUCGAGUUUACAUAUACAACAAUAAAGAAAAUUUAAGUGUCAGAAAGUUAAAUUACAAAAAUAGAAAAGGCUAAAAUAAAAAGGAUGGCAGAAAAUUUAAUUUUGCAAAAAAGAAGUAAAACUGAAUAUGAGAAAAAUUAAGAGAAUGUCCAGGAACGUGAAUUAUUGCAGCAAAAUGAGACAGAACUUGAACAAUUUAAAGAGUUUAUUACAAAAACCGAAAGAUUUUUUUUGGAUAAAUUAGCCCGCCAAUACAGCUGGAAGUGGACCAGUGUAAAUCCGAGUGCAGAAAAGUAUUAUUUAGUUACAGUAAUCAAAAGAAAGUUUGUCU